AGAAAGCACACGAGAUAAUCUAGUAUUUUUUUGUGUUUUCACCUGAACCAGGGAUUUAUAGCCUAAUCUUACUCACACCUCUUAUUUCUGAGAGUUGAAUUCCACAGCUGCUUUCCUGCAUGCUGAAGGGAGAACUUCCAGAAAGAAGCUGGCAAUAUUUCCACUGCUCAGACAUGCUCUUGCUGCUCGUCGCAGUCCUGGGGAUGCUUUUUACCUCGAGAGACGCCAGAGCCCAGUCAGUGACCCAGCCUGACAACCACAUCAGUGUUUCUGAAGGAGACUCACUGGAGCUGAGGUGCAAGUACACUGGAGCCGUGUCUUUCUACUGGUAUGUCCAAGACCGCAGCCAAGGCCUCCAGCUUCUACUCAAGUACCUUUCAGGGGACACCUUGGUUAAAGGCAUUAAGAAUUUUGAGGCUGAACUUAGGAAGAAUGAGUCGUCCUUCAACCUGAGGAAACACUUUGCUCAUUGGAGUGACUCAGCUGAGUACUUCUGUGCUGUGAGUGCCACAGUGCUGGGAACUGCAUGAGGAGCUGAACACAAACUCUGUGAGACAUGAGGGAAGAGAACUGCACCGGGAAUAUUUUGGAUUCUGACAUAGUAGAAGACACGGUGUUCUUAUUACAUAUUGUAGAGAUGCUCAGGGGCGUGCUGAGCCAGGAUGAGGUGGACACAGUUUAAUGAUUGGAUCUGAGAGUUGGGACUUGGUACUGGAGAAAUUUACUUUUCAUUCAUCAUUUUAUCUUUUAAUAAUUCAAAACAAAAGUGAAGUCCUUUGGAUGA